UCGAGAAUUUUUCACAAUGGGGGAAACCCUGAUGGAGCGACGCCGCGUGGAGGAUGAAGGUUUUCGGAUUGUAAACUCCUGUCAUUAGAGAACAAGGCACACGGAUUAACUGCCCGUGUGUUGAUAGUAUCUGAAGAGGAAGAGACGGCUAACUCUGUGCCAGCAGCCGCGGUAAUACAGAGGUCUCAAGCGUUGUUCGGAUUCAUUGGGCGUAAAGGGUGCGUAGGUGGCGAUGUAAGUCGGAUGUGAAAUCUCCAAGCUCAACUUGGAAACUGCAUUCGAUACUGCGUCGCUUGAGGAUUGUAGAGGGCAUUGGAAUUCACGGUGUAGCAGUGAAAUGCGUAGAUAUCGUGAGGAAGACCAGUGGCGAAGGCGAAUGCCUGGGCAAUUCCUGACACUGAGGCACGAAGGCCAGGGGAGCGAACG
rnacentral:rRNA from 1 species